GGUUCUUGGACGAGGUGGCGCCUAAUUGGCGCUAUCGAACCUGGGUCGAGCGAACGGGGAGG
rnacentral:rRNA from 1 species